UGUUUGUGUUCACUUGAUUCAGUAGUGAAUGGUUUUUCCUAAUGUGUUUGUACCUUUAUGCUUGUAGAACAAAAUAGCCUAGUUAGAUUUACUAUCUCCAUGUCCUAACUUCGAUAUAUUUUUAUUUUUUGUUACUAUUUGGUGACCUAUCUGCUUUAGGAGCUGAAUGUAAAUGAAAAUAUUUAUUAAUGGGUUGUGAGAACGAUAACAUGUCUAACGAUCAAGAUGAGCAUCGUAAAGUAGGCGGAAGAGAAGACAAAGCACAACUAUCAUGUAAAGCAGACCACAGGAGAAUCUUAACAAAUUGAAAUGACAGUGAAAAUCCAGCAAUUCAAAAGAGACCUUGUGUUUUUCAGUCUUCACAAGGGAAUGUGGCAGGUCAUCUCUAGCCACUUUUACAUUGAUGUUUAAUUUUUUAAGUGUAUGUACGUAGUUACACUUGAUGAAUUUGGACUUUUUUUCAGAUUUUGAAAACUCAAUUUAUCAUUCAAGAUGAAGAUUUCAAAAACAUCAUACAACCUAACAAGGCGAUUAUCAUUUGGCUCUUGUUGAUGAAUAUAUGAACAAUAGUUGCCAAUCAAAUAUGUUGUUU